AUUGAACGCUGGCGGCAUGCCUUACACAUGCAAGUCGAACGGCAGCACGGGUGCUUGCACCUGGUGGCGAGUGGCGAACGGGUGAGUAAUACAUCGGAACAUGUCCUGUAGUGGGGGAUAGCCCGGCGAAAGCCGGAUUAAUACCGCAUACGAUCUACGGAUGAAAGCGGGGGACCUUCGGGCCUCGCGCUAUAGGGUUGGCCGAUGGCUGAUUAGCUAGUUGGUGGGGUAAAGGCCUACCAAGGCGACGAUCAGUAGCUGGUCUGAGAGGACGACCAGCCACACUGGGACUGAGACACGCCCCAGACUCCUACGGGAGGGCGGAGUGGGGAUUUUUGGACAAGGGGCGAAAGCCUGACCCAACAAGGCGGGGUGUGUGAAGAAGGCCUUGGGGUUGUAAAGCUCUUUGGUCGGAAAAGAAAUCCUUGCCCCUAAAGCGGUGGGGGGAGGACGUUACGGAAAAAAAAACCCCCGGCUAACUACGUC
rnacentral:rRNA from 1 species